GUCUGAGACAAAGGACCCACUGCGUGUUCAGCCUCACCUGAAGAAGUGCUUUGAAGGUAUAGCCAAAUUGGAGUUUGAUUCCAAGCUAGACAUAUUAGCCAUGUUUAGCAGUGAAGCUGAGAAAGUUCAACUUCGAAAAACUGUAUCGACCUCAGCAGCUCGAGGUGCAGUUGAGAAAUGGCUGCUUGAA
rnacentral:lncRNA from 1 species